GGCAGGGGAGGGGGAAGCAGACGGAACGCUGAAAUGGAGAGGAGGAAAGUCCUCCUCUCUUCAGCAUUCUGUCUGCUUCCUCCUCCCCAGCCA
rnacentral:pre_miRNA from 1 species